ACAAAUGGUGCUUAGGGUUAUAUUUAAAUGACAAAGCGAAGCCUACCUCAAAGAUGAGGGAUUUACUGAGUUUAGCAUUGAUUAUGCACAUUUCAAAUUAAUGGCAGAAUCAUGGCACAAAAUGGAUUCUGUGCACGACCUCUGGCUAUUUCUGUCUGUUAUUAAGGAAGUAGGGUUAGAAACCAUGAAAAUUUACUUGUCCAAAUAAAGGAAUAAGAAUAAAUAUUUAUAGCUUUUACUUGGUUUUCAGCGGCUGCAUUGAAACACUGUUAUGUGGUACGCACAAGCCAAUAAAUUUUUGGAUGCUCAUCUGAUAUAGAUUCUGCAAUUUUUUUGAAGGUUAACUGGUUAGAUAUCAAAUUGGUUGCUCUAGGUGAUAUUUGUCUCUUAUUGGCUUUGUUGUACUUUGGUAGGGAUUUGAUAUCGAAGAUUUUCCUGGACGGUGUUGGAUGACGAUUGUCUUCCCCCUGCCAUACUACUUGGAUUGUCCAAAGAAUGUGAACAAGUUGAAGGAUUAUGCUGGAAGGGCACUUAAGCUAUACAAUGAUAGUAAUGGCACCAGCUAUGUGGUUGAUGAGAUUUUGAAGGUCAAUGGAGGUGGUUGCCGUGCUUUUAUUUUCUAUAUUACCUUUUCUGUCAAAAACGGCGUGGACAACAUUUUUCAAGCCAAGGUGUCGGAAGAUAUAGGUUAUCAUUUGGAGUUUCUUAUCGUCAGGCCAAAGCGUAAGGAGGUUGUGGGGUAAAAGCUGCUGUCAGAACCGUUAGAUAUUCGUUUGUGUUUCUUUUAAUGUUCUUAGCGUGUUUGUGUUUCUUCUGAUGUUUUCAAUAUGUUAAUAUAUCAGUGUUGAGUCUUGGUGGAACUAUGUUUAGUUUAUGUCAUUCCCAAAUGUGCACUUGUUUGUACAAGGAGAACCUUAUGGCAGCUUUUAUAAAGCUCGACUUUUAUUUGACUGCAUUUUGAAAUUGACAGUAUAUCGAACAUUUCCAAAUGCUUUU